rnacentral:rRNA from 1 species
GAUGAACGCUGGCGGCGUGCCUAAUACAUGCAAGUCGAGCGAACAGACGAGGAGCUUGCUCCUUUGACGUUAGCGGCGGACGGGUGAGUAACACGUGGAUAACCUACCUAUAAGACUGGGAUGACUUCGGGAAACCGGAGCUAAUACCGGAUAACAUGUUGAACCGCAUGGUUCAACAGUGAAAGACGGUCUUGCUGUCACUUAUAGAUGGAUCCGCGCCGCAUUAGCUAGUUGGUAAGGUAACGGCUUACCAAGGCAACGAUGCGUAGCCGACCUGAGAGGGUGAUCGGCCACACUGGAACUGAGACACGGUCCAGACUCCUACGGGAGGCAGCAGUAGGGAAUCUUCCGCAAUGGGCGAAAGCCUGACGGAGCAACGCCGCGUGAGUGAAGAAGGUCUUCGGAUCGUAAAACUCUGCUAUUAGGGAAGAACAAAUGUGUAAGUAACUAUGCACGUCUUGACGGUACCUAAUCAGAAAGCCACGGCUAACUACGUG